UUUGAUCCUGGCUCAGGAUGAACGCUGGCGGCGUGCCUAAUACAUGCAAGUCGAGCGAACGGAUAAGGAGCUUGCUCCUUUGAAGUUAGCGGCGGACGGGUGAGUAACACGUGGGUAACCUACCUAUAAGACUGGAAUAACUUCGGGAAACCGGAGCUAAUGCCGGAUAACAUUUGGAACCGCAUGGUUCUAAAGUAAAAGAUGGUUUUGCUAUCACUUAUAGAUGGACCCGCGCCGUAUUAGCUAGUUGGUAAGGUAACGGCUUACCAAGGCAACGAUACGUAGCCGACCUGAGAGGGUGAUCGGCCACACUGGAACUGAGACACGGUCCAGACUCCUACGGGAGGCAGCAGUAGGGAAUCUUCCGCAAUGGACGAAAGUCUGACGGAGCAACGCCGCGUGAGUGAUGAAGGUUUUCGGAUCGUAAAACUCUGUUAUUAGGGA
rnacentral:rRNA from 1 species